UACGAAGGGUGCAAGCGUUGUUCGGAAUUAUUGGGCGUAAAGGGUUCGUAGGUGGGAAGAUAAGUCAAGUGUGAAAUCCCUGAGCUUAACUCAGGACGUGCAUUUGAAACUAUUUUUCUUGAGUACUGGAGAGGGUCGUGGAAUUGCUGGUGUAGGAGUGAAAUCCGUAGAUAUCAGCAGGAACACCAGAGGCGAAGGCGGCGACCUGGCCAGAUACUGACACUGAGGAACGAAAGCGUGGGGAGCAAACAGG
rnacentral:rRNA from 1 species